GGCCGAUUAGCUCAGUUGGUUAGAGCGCUGCAUUCACAUUGCAGAAGUCGGAGGUUCGAAUCCUCCAUCGGCCA
rfam:Candidatus Gottesmanbacteria bacterium RBG_16_43_7 RBG_16_scaffold_75431, whole genome shotgun sequence.